rnacentral:rRNA from 1 species
UGCAAGUCGAGCGGUAGAGAGAAGCUUGCUUCUCUUGAGAGCGGCGGACGGGUGAGUAAUGCCUAGGAAUCUGCCUGGUAGUGGGGGAUAACGUUCGGAAACGGACGCUAAUACCGCAUACGUCCUACGGGAGAAAGCAGGGGACCUUCGGGCCUUGCGCUAUCAGAUGAGCCUAGGUCGGAUUAGCUAGUUGGUGAGGUAAUGGCUCACCAAGGCGACGAUCCGUAACUGGUCUGAGAGGAUGAUCAGUCACACUGGAACUGAGACACGGUCCAGACUCCUACGGGAGGCAGCAGUGGGGAAUAUUGGACAAUGGGCGAAAGCCUGAUCCAGCCAUGCCGCGUGUGUGAAGAAGGUCUUCGGAUUGUAAAGCACUUUAAGUUGGGAGGAAGGGCAGUUGCCUAAUACGUAACUGUUUUGACGUUACCGACAGAAUAAGCACCGGCUAACUCUGUGCCAGCAGCCGCGGUAAUACAGAGGGUGCAAGCGUUAAUCGGAAUUACUGGGCGUAAAGCGCGCGUAGGUGGUUUGUUAAGUUGGAUGUGAAAUCCCCGGGCUCAACCUGGGAACUGCAUUCAAAACUGACUGACUAGAGUAUGGUAGAGGGUGGUGGAAUUUCCUGUGUAGCGGUGAAAUGCGUAGAUAUAGGAAGGAACACCAGUGGCGAAGGCGACCACCUGGACUGAUACUGACACUGAGGUGC